rnacentral:rRNA from 1 species
AUCCGUAGGUGACAAGCGUUAUCCGGAUUUACUGGGCGUAAAGGGCGUGUAGGCGGUCUUGCAAGUCAGAAGUGAACUUCCUGAGCUCCACUCGGGCGAUGCUUCUGAAACUGCAGGACUUGAGUGCUGGAGGGGAUAGCGGAAUUCCUAGUGGAGCGGUAAAAUGCGCAGAUAUUAGGAAUAACACCGGUGGCGAAGGCGGCUAUCUGGACAGUAACUGACGCUGAGGCCCGAAAUCGUGGGGAGCAAAAAGGAUUAGAUCCCCUGUUAGUCCACGCCGUAAACGAUGAAUACUAGGUGUAGGGGGUAUCGACUCCCUCUGUGCCGCAGUUAACACAAUAAGUAUUCCGCCUGGGGAGUACGACCGCAAGGUUGAAACUUAAAGGAAUUGACGGGG